rnacentral:sRNA from 21 species
UUUGGCGUUGACGUAGCGGCCUUCGGCGUCGCCGAACUCUGCGAGCACCCGGGCGCCGAGGACCAGUCCCAGCCCCGGCUGC